UGUUAAAAAAAUUUCAUCCAUUUGUAUUGUUAAAAACUGACAUGAUUGAUAGAAUAACUAGACAGUGAUAUCUGACAUGCUACGUGUACCUUAUAUAAAUUUACAGCGUGACUAGUUUUUAAUAGUGUAAAUAGAUGGAAUUUUUAAUA
rnacentral:pre_miRNA from 1 species